UACGUAGGCAGCGAGCGUUGUUCGGAGUUACUGGGCGUAAAGAGUGCGUAGGCGGUUUUCUAAGUUUGGUGUGAAAUCUCCCGGCUUAACUGGGAGGGUGCGCCGAAGACUGGAAGGCUUGAGUAUGGGAGAGGUAAGCGGAAUUCCUGGUGUAGCGGUGAAAUGCGUAGAUAUCAGGAGGAACACCUGCGGUGUAGACGGCUUACUGGACCAUAACUGGCGCUGAGGCACGAAAGCGUGGGUAGCAAACAGG
rnacentral:rRNA from 1 species